UACGGAGGAUGCGAGCGUUAUCCGGAUUUAUUGGGUUUAAAGGGUGCGUAGGCGGACUGUCAAGUCAGCGGUAAAAUUGAGAGGCUCAACCUCUUCCCGCCGUUGAAACUGGUGGUCUUGAGUGGAUGAGAAGUACGCGGGAUGCGUGGUGUAGCGGUGAAAUGCAUAGAUAUCACGCAGAACUCCGAUUGCGAAGGCAGCCUUCCGGCGCCCUACUGACGCUGAGGCACGAAAGUGCGGGGAUCGAACAGG
rnacentral:rRNA from 1 species